rnacentral:rRNA from 1 species
AUGAACGCUAGCGACAGGCUUAACACAUGCAAGUCGAGGGGCAGCACAGGUAGCAAUACCGGGUGGCGACCGGCGCACGGGUGAGUAACGCGUAUGCAACUUGCCUAUCAGAGGGGGAUAACCCGGCGAAAGUCGGACUAAUACCGCAUGAAGCAGGGAUCCCGCAUGGGAAUAUUUGCUAAAGAUUCAUCGCUGAUAGAUAGGCAUGCGUUCCAUUAGGCAGUUGGCGGGGUAACGGCCCACCAAACCGACGAUGGAUAGGGGUUCUGAGAGGAAGGUCCCCCACAUUGGUACUGAGACACGGACCAAACUCCUACGGGAGGCAGCAGUGAGGAAUAUUGGUCAAUGGCCGAGAGGCUGAACCAGCCAAGUCGCGUGAGGGAUGAAGGUUCUAUGGAUCGUAAACCUCUUUUAUAAGGGAAUAAAGUGCGGGACGUGUCCCGUUUUGUAUGUACCUUAUGAAUAAGGAUCGGCUAACUCCGUGCCAGCAGCCGCGGUAAUACGGAGGAUCCGAGCGUUAUCCGGAUUUAUUGGGUUUAAAGGGUGCGUAGGCGGCCUUUUAAGUCAGCGGUGAAAGUCUGUGGCUCAACCAUAGAAUUGCCGUUGAAACUGGGGGGCUUGAGUAUGUUUGAGGCAGGCGGAAUGCGUGGUGUAGCGGUGAAAUGCUUAGAUAUCACGCAGAACCCCGAUUGCGAAGGCAGCCUGCCAAGCCAUGACUGACGCUGAUGCACGAAAGCGUGGGGAUCAAACAGGAUUAGAUACCCUGGUAGUCCACACCGUAAACGAUGAUUACUAGGUGUUGGAGGAUUGACCCCUUCAGUGCCGCAGUUAACACAAUAAGUAAUCCACCUGGGGAGUACGACCGCAAGGUUGAAACUCAAAGGAAUUGACGGGGGCCCGCACAAGCGGAGGAACAUGUGGUUUAAUUCGAUGAUACGCGAGGAACCUUACCCGGGUUUGAACGCAUUCGGACCGAGGUGGAAACACCUUUUCUAGCAAUAGCCGUUUGCGAGGUGCUGCAUGGUUGUCGUCAGCUCGUGCCGUGAGGUGUCGGCUUAAGUGCCAUAACGAGCGCAACCCUUGCCACUAGUUACUAACAGGUAAAGCUGAGGACUCUGGUGGGACUGCCAGCGUAAGCUGCGAGGAAGGCGGGGAUGACGUCAAAUCAGCACGGCCCUUACAUCCGGGGCGACACACGUGUUACAAUGGCGUGGACAAAGGGAAGCCACCUGGCGACAGGGAGCGAAUCCCCAAACCACGUCUCAGUUCGGAUCGGAGUCUGCAACCCGACUCCGUGAAGCUGGAUUCGCUAGUAAUCGCGCAUCAGCCAUGGCGCGGUGAAUACGUUCCCGGGCCUUGUACACACCGCCCGUCAAGCCAUGGGAGCCGGGGGUACCUGAAGUCCGUAACCGCGAGGAUCGGCCUAGGGUAAAACUGGUGACUGGGGCU